GCAGCUGCAUGUUGAUUGAACCUAUAUUAGAAAGAAAAAACAUUGAGAGUAAAGUUUAUUGCUUUGAUAUACCAGAAUUAUUAAAAAUGACUAAGUUUUUCUUUUCACACAUAUGCCUUGAUCCUUAUCAUUUCAGUUAUUUCAGGAAUAAGCGGAGUAAAUGUCAAAAGAUGUGAAAAAUUAAUACAGCCCACAAACUGUACCAUCCAAAAAUGUCGAUCAGAUUGCUCCAACAUGUUUAAAAGCUUAUUAGAACCGUUUGGAGAAUGCAUUCAAAACACUAAGACUAAUACUUAUGAAUGUUUUUGCUUCUAUGAUUGUAAUGCAACACCACAUUUGGUGUAAACCUAGGCAGUGAUAAUAUGUACCCAGCCAAAGAGGGUGAGAGAAAUAAGAUUUCUAGAAUUAAUCAAUAAACAAUAUAGUUUUUUGAUUCCUUA